ACUAAGCGUACACGGUGGAUGCCCUGGCAGUCAGAGGCGAUGAAGGACGUGCUAAUCUGCGAUAAGCGUCGGUAAGGUGAUAUGAACCGUUAUAACCGGCGAUUUCCGAAUGGGGAAACCCAGUGUGUUUCGACACACUAUCAUUAACUGAAUCCAUAGGUUAAUGAGGCGAACCGGGGGAACUGAAACAUCUAAGUACCCCGAGGAAAAGAAAUCAACCGAGAUUCCCCAGUAGCGGCGAGCGAACGGGGAGCAGCCCAGAGCCUGAAUCAGUGUGUGUGUUAGUGGAAGCGUCUGGAAAGGCGCGCGAUACAGGGUGACAGCCCCGUACACAAAAAUGCACAUGCUGUGAGCUCGAUGAGUAGGGCGGGACACGUGGUAUCCUGUCUGAAUAUGGGGGGACCAUCCUCCAAGGCUAAAUACUCCUGACUGACCGAUAGUGAACCAGUACCGUGAGGGAAAGGCGAAAAGAACCCCGGCGAGGGGAGUGAAAAAGAACCUGAAACCGUGUACGUACAAGCAGUGGGAGCCUCUUUAUGGGGUGACUGCGUACCUUUUGUAUAAUGGGUCAGCGACUUAUAUUCUGUAGCAAGGUUAACCGAAUAGGGGAGCCGAAGGGAAACCGAGUCUUAACUGGGCGUUAAGUUGCAGGGUAUAGACCCGAAACCCGGUGAUCUAGCCAUGGGCAGGUUGAAGGUUGGGUAACACUAACUGGAGGACCGAACCGACUAAUGUUGAAAAAUUAGCGGAUGACUUGUGGCUGGGGGUGAAAGGCCAAUCAAACCGGGAGAUAGCUGGUUCUCCCCGAAAGCUAUUUAGGUAGCGCCUCGUGAAUUCAUCUCCGGGGGUAGAGCACUGUUUCGGCAAGGGGGUCAUCCCGACUUACCAACCCGAUGCAAACUGCGAAUACCGGAGAAUGUUAUCACGGGAGACACACGGCGGGUGCUAACGUCCGUCGUGAAGAGGGAAACAACCCAGACCGCCAGCUAAGGUCCCAAAGUCAUGGUUAAGUGGGAAACGAUGUGGGAAGGCCCAGACAGCCAGGAUGUUGGCUUAGAAGCAGCCAUCAUUUAAAGAAAGCGUAAUAGCUCACUGGUCGAGUCGGCCUGCGCGGAAGAUGUAACGGGGCUAAACCAUGCACCGAAGCUGCGGCAGCGACGCUUAUGCGUUGUUGGGUAGGGGAGCGUUCUGUAAGCCUGUGAAGGUGUGCUGUGAGGCAUGCUGGAGGUAUCAGAAGUGCGAAUGCUGACAUAAGUAACGAUAAAGCGGGUGAAAAGCCCGCUCGCCGGAAGACCAAGGGUUCCUGUCCAACGUUAAUCGGGGCAGGGUGAGUCGACCCCUAAGGCGAGGCCGAAAGGCGUAGUCGAUGGGAAACAGGUUAAUAUUCCUGUACUUGGUGUUACUGCGAAGGGGGGACGGAGAAGGCUAUGUUGGCCGGGCGACGGUUGUCCCGGUUUAAGCGUGUAGGCUGAUUUUCCAGGCAAAUCCGGAAAAUCAAGGCUGAGGCGUGAUGACGAGGCACUACGGUGCUGAAGCAACAAAUGCCCUGCUUCCAGGAAAAGCCUCUAAGCAUCAGGUAACAUCAAAUCGUACCCCAAACCGACACAGGUGGUCAGGUAGAGAAUACCAAGGCGCUUGAGAGAACUCGGGUGAAGGAACUAGGCAAAAUGGUGCCGUAACUUCGGGAGAAGGCACGCUGAUAUGUAGGUGAAGUCCCUCGCGGAUGGAGCUGAAAUCAGUCGAAGAUACCAGCUGGCUGCAACUGUUUAUUAAAAACACAGCACUGUGCAAACACGAAAGUGGACGUAUACGGUGUGACGCCUGCCCGGUGCCGGAAGGUUAAUUGAUGGGGUCAGCGCAAGCGAAGCUCUUGAUCGAAGCCCCGGUAAACGGCGGCCGUAACUAUAACGGUCCUAAGGUAGCGAAAUUCCUUGUCGGGUAAGUUCCGACCUGCACGAAUGGCGUAAUGAUGGCCAGGCUGUCUCCACCCGAGACUCAGUGAAAUUGAACUCGCUGUGAAGAUGCAGUGUACCCGCGGCAAGACGGAAAGACCCCGUGAACCUUUACUAUAGCUUGACACUGAACAUUGAGCCUUGAUGUGUAGGAUAGGUGGGAGGCUUAGAAGUGUGGACGCCAGUCUGCAUGGAGCCGGCCUUGAAAUACCACCCUUUAAUGUUUGAUGUUCUAACGUGGACCCGUAAUCCGGGUUGCGGACAGUGUCUGGUGGGUAGUUUGACUGGGGCGGUCUCCUCCUAAAGAGUAACGGAGGAGCACGAAGGUUGGCUAAUCCUGGUCGGACAUCAGGAGGUUAGUGCAAUGGCAUAAGCCAGCUUGACUGCGAGCGUGACGGCGCGAGCAGGUGCGAAAGCAGGUCAUAGUGAUCCGGUGGUUCUGAAUGGAAGGGCCAUCGCUCAACGGAUAAAAGGUACUCCGGGGAUAACAGGCUGAUACCGCCCAAGAGUUCAUAUCGACGGCGGUGUUUGGCACCUCGAUGUCGGCUCAUCACAUCCUGGGGCUGAAGUAGGUCCCAAGGGUAUGGCUGUUCGCCAUUUAAAGUGGUACGCGAGCUGGGUUUAGAACGUCGUGAGACAGUUCGGUCCCUAUCUGCCGUGGGCGCUGGAGAACUGAGGGGGGCUGCUCCUAGUACGAGAGGACCGGAGUGGACGCAUCACUGGUGUUCGGGUUGUCAUGCCAAUGGCACUGCCCGGUAGCUAAAUGCGGAAGAGAUAAGUGCUGAAAGCAUCUAAGCACGAAACUUGCCCCGAGAUGAGUUCUCCCUGACUCCUUGAGAGUCCUGAAGGAACGUUGAAGACGACGACGUUGAUAGGCCGGGUGUGUAAGCGCAGCGAUGCGUUGAGCUAACCGGUACUAAUGAACCGUGAGGCUUAACC
rnacentral:rRNA from 1 species